rnacentral:rRNA from 1 species
CUCAGGAUGAACGCUAGCUACAGGCUAACACAUGCAAGUCGAGGGGUAGCAGGGUAGCAAUACCGCUGACGACCGGCGCACGGGUGAGUAACACGUAUCCAACCUUCCCAUAACUCAGGGAUAGCCUUUCGAAAGAAAGAUUAAUACCUGAUAGUACUUUUUCAAGGCAUCUUGAGAAAGUUAAAGAUUUAUUGGUUAUGGAUGGGGAUGCGUUCCAUUAGAUAGUUGGUGAGGUAACGGCUCACCAAGUCUUCGAUGGAUAGGGGUUCUGAGAGGAAGGUCCCCCACAUUGGUACUGAGACACGGACCAAACUCCUACGGGAGGCAGCAGUGAGGAAUAUUGGUCAAUGGGCGAGAGCCUGAACCAGCCAAGUAAGCGUGAAGGAUGACUGCCCUAUGGGUUGUAAACUUCUUUUAUAAGGGAAUAAAGUGAGGGACGUGUCCCUUUUUGUAUGUACCUUAUGAAUAAGGAUCGGCUAACUCCGUGCCAGCCGCCGC